UGCAAUCUCCGCUCAUGGUUUCGCCUCCGCCGGCUCCGGGUAGUGCUCCUCUGGCUUCGGUGGCAGCUCGUGCUUUGGCUCCUCCGGCACCUCUGGGUGCGGCAGCUCCGGCACGGUGGGGUGAGGAGGCAGCUCGGGCUUUGGCAGCUCCGGCACGGUGGGGUGAGGAGGCAGCUCGGGCUUUGGCAGCUCCGGCACGGUCGGGUGCUCUGGCACGGUGGGGUGAGGAGGGAGCUCGGGCUUUGGCUGCUCUGGCGCGACCGGGUGCGGCUCCUCAUGUUUUGGCAGCUCAGGCUCAGUAGGGUGAGGUGGCAGUUCAGGCUUCGGAAUCUCCGGCACAGGGUGCGGCACCUCGGGCUCGGUAGGGUGAGGAGGCAGUUCGGGCUUGGGCAGCUCUGGCACGGGGUGCGGCUCCUCAGGUUUGGGCAGCUCUGGCUCGGUUGGGUGAGGAGGCAGUUCAGGUUUGGGCAGCUCUGGCACGGGGUGCGGCGCCUCAGGCUUGGGCAUCUCCGGGACGGCGGGGUGGGGUGGCACCUCGGGCUUUGGCAGCUCAGGCACGGUAGGGUGCGGCGGCAGCUGGGGCUUGGGCAACUCCGGCACAGCAGGGUGCGGGUACUCCUCCUUGGGCGGCGCCUCCUCCAGCAACCGCGCCGCGCCGCUCAUGCCGCUGCAGGAGAGCAGCAGCGCCAUGAGGAGAAGCGAGGACAUGGUGGUGCUGCUGGAACUCCAAGCCAUGGCUGGGGUGGUUUGCACUCGUGAUCGAUCUACUGUGUGCUUCUUGUCCCGAUGAGAGAGCAAGAUCGUUGUGUGUGAUGGCUGGGAAGGGAGCGAGGCCUGGUAUUUAUAGCGCUCGAUGAAGCCCUUGAGCUCUCAUCGUUUGGUAGCUGGUAGGUCAUCUGCAUCAACGUGGUUGUUUAACUUUGUCCUUGCGAUAAGGUUUAAUUAGUUGGGAAAUCCUGAGACCUGGGUGAUCUGGUUGGUCGAUAUGAUGCAGUGGUAUUGUGGCGGCUCGUACGUGUGCAGUGUGUCUCAUCAUCAAAUCUAUUUUUGUUUGGCCACCGGGGGUGGUUGGGCAAAAUUAUGGACUUGCAUGUCAAGAAUCGACUUAGAAACAGACUAACAUGGAUACGUCUGUAGUGAGGAGAGGAUGGGUGGAUCUGCUUGCUCUAAACUAAAGAGACCCAGUUGAAAAUGACCCUACCGCCGAAACUUAUCCAAAGUGUUAUUUUUCUUUUUUGCUUGAUGCUUUAGCUUUCCUUUUUCAAUAAUUUCUUUGAGUUGUAAAUGUGAAGUAGUAACAUUUACAUAUAGAUGUCCUGGAAGAUAGAUGCACUUCAAGUAUAAAUUUGGGUACACUAUUGUCACAUGAAAAAAAAUAUUAAUAAGUCCACUAAAAUUAGUUCCAUAAAAAAAUUUAUGCCCAACUAAAGAUGUUGGAUUUAGUUAUUCCAAUAAGUAUACAUGAUGGUUGGAUUAGGAGUAGUUUGCCAAAUUUAUCUGCUUGUUUUCCAACCUAGCUUCUUCUUCAUGCAUAUGUAUAAAUGAUAUUUGUUUUGAAACAGGUUAUGCAUGCCGUCAUGGUCAAAAGCAUAUACUAUUGAAUUGUAGAGGUAGGAAAUGACGGGGAGGAAGAGGGAGAGCGCCGAGGUGAGGAAGAGGCGGACUUUGGGGGUCGAGGAUGGCGCUGAUGUCGGAGAUGCCGCUGAAGAGAUUGAGGUUGAAAAAGAGGCCGGCGAGGACGAACAUGAUGACGGAGGCGGCCACCAUGCUGGGCUCAUUGCGCUUCUCUGUGUAGGAUGACGUGAGGUUGCCGAUGCACGAGUUAAUUUCUACUACUGGGCAGCUGGGGAGACCCAUCGUUCUACAAGCUAGCUUGAGGGUCGUUUUCAGGGAUGCUAGCUACCAUGUAUGGCCUGCACGCAUAUAUAGGCCAGUGUGCAAGGUCAUCGUCGUCGUCAAUCGUCCGUCGAAUGGCAUCACGUGCAUGCCAAGUAAACUUGUUUUGCUUUGGUGUCAAGUACGUUGAGAUGGAUCGACGGAUUGUCGAUGCAUGUGUGGAUCAAGAGACGGCGUCGCAGGUUUAGAGGGCUCUUGGCAUGUGCAGAUGUGCUCUUGCUGAUCAUCACGUACGUGAUGAGCUAGCAGUCUUUGCUUUUAUUCUUCUUCUCCGUCUUUGUCUUUGGUAUCUGUUCCAUUUUUUCUUUUCUUUUCCGAUGUUUGCCAAAUCAAGGACGUACAGGGCCACGAACCUGAUUCACAUUAUAUUAUUGGAGCUAUGCUUUAACACGAUGAAUCCGCUGAAAGGCUGCACUAAUUAAAGAUUGAUGCAACUUUUUGUCAGCUGUAUGGAGCUUUUGUCAUGUGUAAGGCAACUCUAAAGUUGUGGAAACGAAGCCGAUAGUCUUUUAUUAUGAGCAAAUUCUAGUUACGGCAUCACCAUCAGCUCGAUCUCCGGUUAGGUUAUUGCUGGGAGCAUCUGAUCUGGUCAGGGGGCCGGCUAAUUGCUAGCUAGCAAAGCACAUGCACCUUUUGUUUCUGUAGCUGGAUACUGCACUUCUCUCUGUCCCUUCUAUAUAUCCCAGUCAGCCUAUUCCGAAAUGUGUUGAUGCACAUGAGGACUAUGGUGGUGGAAUCUCAUCUUCCUAGUUGUCUCGUUGUAACUGUAUCUUCUUAGUUUGUAAAUCAAUGGAAGGAAAGAAAAAUAUCCAUCGCAGCAAUGGUGCAUGAGUUUUCGCAUAGUGCUAAAUUUUAUCUUACAAGGUAGUUGUGUCAUGACACCUUCACGACCAUGCACAAGAUGACUGAUGUCACCAAUGUAUUUUUACGUGGAUCUUGAAUGAUGCUCGACUAUUUCCCCUCAAACAAAAUUAGUAGUUUGCUUGCUUGUUUAUUAGCAACUACUGAAUAUAGAUGGCACAAUCUUUUACAUGAUUUAAAGGGAAAUUGUAAUCAAACCCAAAUUUAAAGUCGAUAAUUAAAUACAUUUAGUCCGUCCACCGUACUCUCACAUGGGACUAAAAGUUUAGAGCGGCAUCAAAAGUAAAAAAAAUAGUAAAAAAGUUAAGCCCAUAGCUAAUAAUAAAAAAUAUUUAGAAUAAAGGAAAAAUAUUAUCACACUAGUAGAAAAAUGACCUUCCAUCCUCAACAAAAAUCUCAGGUGUUUUUGGACCCGGGACUAAAGCAAAUUUUGUAGUCCUUAGAGACACCUUUAGUCCCAGUUGACUAAAGGUGAUCCUGUAGUCCGUGGAGACAUCUUCAUGCAUAUAUAUAAAUGAUAUUUGUUUUGUAACAGGUUAUGCAUGCCGUCAUGGUCAAAAGCAUAUACUAUUGAAUUGUAGAGGCAUAAUCUUUUAAUAGUUACCUAUGAAUAAAUCAUUACUUAUAUAAGUUCUUUAGGUUGUCCGCGGUCAUAUUAUCUAUAUAUACUUAUUUUAUUUCACCAUCAAUCUUCUUUACAUGUAUGUUGAAGCCGAAUGACUGGAAGUAGUAUUGGUAGACUUAUAUAUUGAAAUGAAGUUUCAAAAUACAAAUUUAUAGUAUAAAAGUGCCAUUAUUUUACUUUUGUAAAUAUAUAACAAAAUAAACUAAUUGUAACUAGUGGCCUUAGCCUUGUGAUGGAACCUUCAUUCCUAACCGACUUCAAGUCCGUGACUUAGCACAUGUGCAUGUGCUCAUAUGUUCAACUUACUAUUUUUUAGUGGUAGACGAUAUGUCCAUUAACCGCGAGACACGGUGCAUUGUGUUUUGAAAAACAAAGCCUGAGCUGUUGGUAGCUACUUCCUCCGUCCCAAAUUACUUUUCGUUUUAGCUUUUCUAGAUACAUGACCUUUGAAAUGCACCUAGAUAAAUAUUAUGUCUAGAUACAUAGCAAAAUUUAUGUAUCUAGAAAAGUUAAAAUGAAUAAUAAUUUAGGACGGAGGGAGUAGAGUAGUAUCUAGGAGGUCCUUUUGCCAGAAGUGGAGCAGCUUUGGCACAACUGUUUUCCUUGUUUAUUUCCACAAACAUCCGUAUAGUCAUUCAUAUCUUAUUGCUAGAGGUAAAGGACUGUACUGAUUUGCAACAUUCUCACGCGCAAAAAAAAACUAAAAAUAUAAGCAAUUUUAAGCCACAUCUUCAUAAUAUACAUGUAAAUAGAAGUAUUUGGAGGACUCUAUUGAAUCAUAUACAGAAAUGAUAGUGCAUAUAUAACAUGAAGAUAAAUAAAUAAAUAAAAAACGUGUGAUACAUACCAUGCAUAGACUCGCAUGCAUACAAAGCAAUGUACAUUACAUCAUCAAAGUACAAGCAUAUACAUACAGAGUAAACUACUGGUAACAUCGAUCAUGCUCUCCUAGCUAGCCCAUGGCCAAAGAGGUCGCAGCCUCGCAGGCAUACGUCGAAUUUUACACCAUAUGUACGUACACGGUACACAGAUGUAGAAAAAGAAAAAGGUGGUUAUUGAUACUGGGGCAAUGCGGAUGCAAGUCGAUCAUGGCUUGGUAUCUGGCACCGGGUAGUGUCCCUCGGCCUUCGGUGGUAGCUCAGGUUCCGGCAGAGGUGGCAGCUCAUGCUUUGGCACCUCCGGCACGGCGGGAUGCUCAGGCACCUCAGGCUCGGCGGGGUGCUCCGGCACCUCAGGCUCCGGUAGCUCCGGCAUGGCGGGGUGUUCCGGCACUUCGGGCUUCGGCAGCUCAUCAGGCACGGCAGGGUGCUCCGGCACCUCAGAGGCUUUGGCAGCUCCGGCACCUCGGGCUUCGGCAGCUCGGGUACAGUAGGGUGAGGUGGCAGCUCAGGCUUCGGCAGUUCUGGUACGGCGGGGUGCGCCGGCACCUCGGGCUUCGGCGGCUCCGGCUCGACUGGGUGCGGCGGUAGCUCCGGCUUAGGCAGCUCAGGCACCGUGGGGUGCGGCGGAAGCUCGGGCUUGGCAGCUCCGGCACGGCAGGGUGUGGAUACUCCUCUUUGGGUGCCGCCUCCUCCAGCAACCGUGCCGCGGUGCUCAUGCCGCUGCUGCACGAGAGCAGCAGCUCCAUGAGGAUCCAUGAGGAGAAGGGAGGCUGGCAUGGUGCUCCUGGAAGCCAUAGCUAGGUUCUUUGCACUAAUGAAGCGAUCGAGAACAAGAUCGCUAUGCAUGGUGACUGGAAAGGGGUCGAGAGAAGCAUGGUAUUUGUAGUGCCAAAUUAUAAAAAUCGACCGAUCGUUUGGUAACUCUUCAUGAUUGUUUUUUUUCGAGAAUACGUAGGAGAGCUACGUAUCUUUGAAUUAAGAAAGGAAUAAAGUUUUAGUUACAAUAUGAGACUCCCCGGCACACGCACACAGUUCAACACUAUUAGUAGAGUGAUUACGUAGAGGAAACAACAACUGAAAACAAUGUCCCAAGCGAUUAGCUCACUAACUAGUUGUGCUUCCACCGGUACCGGCCAUCCUAAGAGGUGUUUAGCACCUGCACAGGACCAUAGCAGUGCUUCUUCCAGAAUGUCUUGUGCCAGUUGUGCAGCCUGCUUAGGAGAACCUCUUCUGAAGACUCGAUCGUUACGUUCUUUCCAUAACUUCCAUGAGACGAGCAUGAAGGUAGAGUCCAACCCUUUUCUCUGUUGAGCGUUGAUUCUCUGUCAUUUCUGAAUCCACCAAUCCAUGAGACCUAUACCUUGAGCUGGUGCCUGGUAUUGCAAUUGCAGUAGCGAGGUAAUGUUUUGCCAGACUUGCUGAGAGUAAGCACAUUGGACAAAAAGGUGAUCAGCGGUCUCCAAAUCCUGAUUGCAUAGCGCACAAGUUGUGUGGUCUUGUAAUUCCGCUGUCUAGAGAUGGUCUUUGGUAGCCAACCACAUGAAAGAGCCCAGGUCUUCCAAAUUAGCUUCCCCCCGGCGAACUUUGCUGCAUCAAUGAAGAACAUUCUUUAGGUUGAUCUUGCUAAGUAGGAGCCAGAUGACUCCCAUCUCCAAGUGAUCGUGUCUUCUAUGCCUAGGUUGAGGUGAAUCCGUUCCAUUUCGUGCCACAGCUGAAUGUAUUGUUGGAUGGCGCUUACUGUUACCGGUCUGACAAUAUCCGCUAUCCAUUGUUUCUGCUGCCACUACUAGAAAAAUGAGCAUUCGUCCUGAGGCUCAGUACUGGUUGCAUUUUGGCCCGGUACUAAUAUGAGCAUUAGUACCGGACCUAUUGGAUAGUCCCCGAGGAGGCCCCCCGUGACCCGCUUUAGUACCGGGAUGGAGCCUGUGCCUGAGGGCUUUUAGUACCGGGUGGAGCCUCCACCCGGUACUAAGGGGUUCCCUCUGUCCUCGCGCUGCCUUUUUAAUUUGCACUGGGCCCCUCGCUCCCUUAUCCUCUCCCUCCGCUCUCCUCAGCCUCCUACCCCCACAGUGCCAGGAGGUCCUUCUUCUCACCCUCAACGCUAGGAGCCCCUCCUUCCCCUUCCACCGGCCCCCUCCCUCCCUCUCUCCGGCCUUCCCUCUCCUCUCCCCUCCGCUCGCCCCUCACCUCGUGCCUGAGGCGAGGAGCGGCGGCGGCCAUCGGGCGGAGGGCGACAGCGGGGCAAAGGGCAGCGAGGCGGAGGUAGGGCGGGUGGGGACGGGGGGCGGUGGCGGAAGGAGGGUGGAGGGCGGGCGGAGGGAGGGUGGAGGGCGGGUGGUGGGAGGGGUGGCGUGGCGGGGGGCGGCUAGCGGGAGGGGGUGGGCAGUGAGAGGGGGGAAGCGGGGGUAGGGCCGGUAGAGGAUUUUGUUUUUUUUUAAUUUUUUAAUACCGUUUAGUACCGGUUAUUUCAACCGGUACUAAAGGUCCUCUUUAGUACCGAACUACCAGUACCAGUUGCAAAACCGGUACUAAAGGGGUUCUCAAUCGGUACUAAAGGCGUUUUCCAUAGCAGUGUACAUUGCUUCCGCAACCGUUCACCUUUUCUUGGUUCGCGCUCUUAUGAGGUUGCACAGAAUCGGGGGCGAUGGUACAUGGGGAGGAGUCACCAUCCCCAUGGUUGUUAAAUUAGGAUCCGUGAGCUCUCGUUCUCUUGAUCCAUGCAUCCUUUGAUUUGUUCGGAAUGCUGCGCGACUUGCAUUGAGAGAGAUCAGCUGGUCGUUGGUUGAAUCACUUUCUUGGCACCUUGCGUUGUGGCUACACACGUGUGCGACGUAUCCCAUCGUCUCAUCGUUGUGCAAGUGUUUGGCCACCGGAUAACGCAAAGUAUAGGGACGUCAUUCAUGUCAAGGACAGGCUGAGACUGAGAAACCAACAUGAUCACGUGUUGCGAGCUGGACGAGAAACGCCUUACCAACCAUCAUUAGAUCAAAGCAGCGCAGUGGCGAGAUGGAAUACAAUCACUCCAUUGACAAGGGGUGGAUCUAGAUCCAAUACAACCCAAUUGAAAUAUAUAUACGUACUUACAGAAAGUAUCGUAUGUCCAGGGAAAAAGUGUUUUAAGGUUUUUAAUUAUGUCGAUGUAAUGAUCUUGAAACUAAUAAAGAUUCCAUUAUCAGAAAAAAAAAUUGGAGGAAAAAGCCCUGCAUGUCCCCUCCCAACUCUCAAUCUCACAAGCAAGGACUAAAUACUUUUUACUAGAUAUCAAGCAUAUUUCAGUAACAAUGAAUUGAUUUUCAUAGCAGUUGUAAAGCGAGUUGAAAAUGGCCCCUACAAUAAAUGUUGAAGGGCCUUUUUUCCUACAUCGAUAAUUUUAGAUUUUAAACAAGUUGCAUCAGCUUACAUGCACUCCUGAAUUAUCACCCACGUUGUGUGCUAUGCAAGUUCUUUAGUUGGCUAGCUAUCCAAGACAGGAUAUGGAUAUCGGAUCGACUAGAGCGUCGGGGAUGGCCCAGUAACCCACGUUGUGUGCUAUGCAAUACUACACAGGAGACCGGUUAUCACCUUUUCACCGACUGUCACUUUGCAAAGACAAUUUGGAUAGGGAUGAGUGCACGGACAAGGUGUGCAGAUAUUAACCCGAGUCAUUGGGACAUGCAUGACUCUUUACACAAUUGGUGGACAGCUUUAGUGGCCGCUCUAGUGGUCGGCAAAAUAGGGUUGCGUAGUCUAAUUAUCCUUGUCCUAUGGGAAAUUUGGGCGAAGAGAAACGCGAUGAUACUUCAACACAAGGAGCAGACAGUUAAUCGAGUACUUAACAAGAGCAAAGACCAGACUGCUACAUGGAUCGGGGUAGGAGCUAAACAUUUAGAGUAUUUCAUUUACGCGACAUGACAUUUGUAGUUGCCCCUUCUGAGUUUCUAGCAGGGUUUUGUUUAUCUUUUCCGCUGACGGGACGAUAGUGUACAGUAUGUAAAGAACCUUUUGUUUCUCGGCCCCUCGGACUUUCCUCUUUUUUAAUAUAGCAUCAGCCACUGGCUCGUUUCAAAAAAAAAAGAUUUCUUCGAAACACAGUUACACAUCCCGGGAGCAAACUCAUUAACACCUCCGCUAAAAUGUGUUCUACAGUUCAUCAUAGUUCACACUUCACACGCAAAUGAGCACCCCUCCUACAAGUUCUCCAACAUCAAAUAGAUUCGACGUUUCCUCCAGAUUUGGGAUUAAAUUUAGUGAGGUAUAUGUUGGAUAUAUAUUCCUACAUCCACAAAUUAGCGAGUGUACUGCACUACUACUAGGGCAUUCAUUAUAUUAGCAUGUGUGUGUAUGUGGUGCACGUGGUUGUUUGGUAAAAUUGCAUAGACACCCCUAUAAAAGACCACUUCAAGUUUGGCAUUGCUCCCCAUAAGUUAUUAUGUUACAAAUACCCACCCACCUACUUAAUUCUAUUGCAAAUAUCCACCCAGUGUGUGCAAACUUAACCGAUUCAACAUGAUUUCAAAAAUAGCGAGCUGCCAAUGUGAUCUUUAUUGAAAUUAAAUACUUCUAGGAGUAUAAUCUUGAAAUUUUUUUGGAGACUCCACAAAAAUAAUUGGUAAAAUUGUGCAUAUUGGGGUGGUUUUUUGCAACAAAAUUGAGUAUCAUGGUGGGUAUUUGCAAUAAAAUGACUUAUGAGGGGCAAUGUGAAACUUGAAGUAGCUUAUUGGGGGUUUCUGCAAUUUUACCUUACUAGAAUAUAAAUCAAUGUUUCCUCUUGUUUCUAGUUCUAAGGGAGAAUAUUUUGCUCACUUUUGGAAAUAUAAUGCAAUCAUUUGGAAAUGAUUUUGCAUUUCAUUCAUCCAUAGAGAGGCGAUAUUAGAUGCAAUUGGUAAUGAAAUGCAUCUAGAACCUUUUCUUUCCUAGAAUACUAGUAUAUGUGAAAAUGUUCAGUGAAAACAGACUUUCCUUUUCUUUUUACCAGUGGGAACUGAAUUUUUUCUAGUUAUUGGGAUCGACGUAUAUGUUAUGACAAACAAUUCCUACAAGACUUGCAAUUUUUAGUUUUGGAUAAACUAGGUUUUAGAUGAUUCACAUUGUGAAAUUGGUUUACUAAUUUUUUCUAAUUAUUUUUGCAAUGCAUUAAAGACAUACAUGGAAAUGAAGUAAGCAAGUGCAUUUGACGGGACACUGAUCCUUCAUUAGAACUAGAAACACCCAUAGAUUAAUCCAACACAAAGAAUGCUUAUGGGGAAUCCUUCAUAUAGUACUGCUACAUUGAAAGCCUACUUAUCUUGUAGUCAGUCAUGUAUGUAUUUUCAUGCCCACAUCAUUUGUAGAGUUUGGACAUCCAGAUAACUCUUUAAUUACUGAUUAAAUAUUACUCCAAGAUAAAUGAAACACAUCUCAUACACAUACUCUGUAUAUAUAUAGUGCAUAAUAAAGGACAAUAUAUACGUACAUCACCAAACAUACAACAUUGAAAAGUAACAAUCCUAAAGCUAGCUUGUGACCAACAAGAUCACAUUCAAACAUAAAAAUAUCACACCAUAAUACACAAGCACAUAACGUUUUUAUUACAGGGGCGACAGUGAUGCAGUCCGAUCAUGGCUUGGUCUCUGGCUCUGGGUAGUGGCUCUCGGGUUUCGGCGGCAGCUCAUGCUCUGGUACCUCCGGCACGUCCGGGUGGGGCAGCUCCGGCUUUGGUAGCUCUGGCACCGUGGGGUGAGGAGGCAGCUCAGGCUUCGGCAGCUCCGGCACGGCGGGGUGCUCCGGCACCUCUGGCUUCGGCAGCUCUGGAACGGCGGGGUGAGGAGGGAGCUCGGGCUUCGGCAACUCCGGCACUUCGGGGUGCGCAGGCACCUCAGGCUUCGGCAGCUCAGGCACGGUGGGAUGAGGUGGCAGCUCAGUCUUCGGCAGCUCGGGUACGGCGGGGUGCUCCGGCAGCUCCGGCACCGUGGGGUGCGGCGGCAGCUCGGGCUUUGGCAGCUCCGGCACGGCAGGGUGUGGGUACUCCUCCUUGGGUGCCACCUCCUCCAGCACCCGCGCCGCGCCGCUCAUGCCGCUGCACGAGAGCAGCAGCGCCAUGAGGAGAACAAGGGAAGCCAUGGUGCUCCUGGCAGCCAUGACUGGAUCGAUGCUUAACACUUGUGAGCUUUUCUGUGCCUCGAGUCUCAGUAUGUAGAGCGAACUAGAUCGUUGUGUGAUGGCUGGGAGGGGAGGGGAGCAUGGUAUUUGUAGUGCAAAACGCAUGUCCUGUAACCACGAUCGAUCAGGUGAGCGUUUACGUCCUGGAGCAUCUUGUAUUUUGGUAGCAGCUGGUAGGUCAUCUGCAUCUUUGGGUGGUUAAAAUUUUGUCCUCGAUUCGUGUCCUCGUGAUCUCCCUCCUGACCCCUGCUUGCGUAUGAUUUAGUUGGUUGGGAAUACACUGAUAUCUGAUCGAUCUGGUUGGUUGAAGCACUACAUGUUUUUUGGCAACACGUGUGCGAUUUAUCUAAUUGACCCGUAUGUGUUUGGCCAGCAGAUGAUGCAAAGGACGUGCAAAUGUCAAGGACAGAUUGAGAUUUGUACAAGCAUGAGCUAUAAAGUCCACGCUGAUGAGAUGUGUGGUUCGGAAGCAGUUCUGAAGUUAGUUGAAAAUGACUAGUGACGUGUGAAAUGUCCAAAGGGGCCUUGCUUCUCAUUUUUGGCCUGGCCAUUUUUCAAAUAACUUACGUCAGUUUACAUGCACUGAUAUGGUAGCAUAGAGAAGAAGGCUUAGUUGUUUUGCUUCCCUCAGUUGCUUUAGAACAUUAUUUCUCAGAGAAUCAAUAUUGAGGCAUGCAUGUUCCAAGAUACGUGUUGGGCGGCAUGCAUAUGCAUGCUCAAAGAUACGAGUUGGGCGUGGUGAUUUGAAUUGUCAGAGAAAUAUAUUUUGGGCUCUUGAAAAUAAAAUUCAAUUGUUUGAUAACUGCUUUUGCAUUUUGUUCAUCAGGGCAACAUUUUAAUAAUUAACUGGUAAUAACAUGUGCUGUUAUUUAUUAUUUAAUUUGGCCUCAGUGAUAAUAUAUAUGUGGAGACAUUAUUUCAUCAAAGCUGAAAUCUUUUAUCGACAAAAGUAUUUGUAAAUAAAAUGCUUUGUAUUUCUUUUUUUAUCUUUUGAUAAAAAGAGAAAGUGGAGUGGCAUUUGUUUUUGAUAAAAAGAGAAAGUGGAGUGGCAUUUGUUUCCCACAGAACUCUUUACUGUUUUGGAAAAACUUGUGUACCUGAAUUUUUGUUCUUUUGAAACAGAUUAGGUUGUAGAUAGUUGGACUCGAAACUGAACUACCAACUUUAUUUCUUUGUUUGUGUCGGUAAUGCAUUAAGAACAUGCUUAAAUGACAUGAAUUUUGAUAAGGUUUAUGGAAAUGGAACAAAGGAAGGACAAUCACAUGUCUAAGAAUGAACCCCUUUAAUGUAUCAACACAAGCAGCUACGUAGAAAACAUAAGGUAUUUAAUUCAUCAUAGUGGUUCUAAAUUCAAGGCUGUGACACAUACAUUUUCAGCCACAUAUUUAACAUAUGCAUACCUUGUGCACAACUAAUUUGGAGAUUUCAUUGUUUACUCCCAUGGUUUGAAAUUAUGAGUAUUUUUGUUUCAUUAGGAUAACCCUUUGAUCAAUAAUUUCUCUAUUAUAGUACAUGAUUUUUGUGACAGGAACUGAUGUCAUUUAAUUCGUAAACAUACUUUCUUAGUAGUAUACUUUUGUACCAUAUAAAUAAAAUAACAAUAGUGUAACUGUGGGCCAAAUUCAGCCCUAACAAAACGAAGUACGCCUUGAAAUUACAAAUGGAAGGAUUAUAUAAUAAGAGACCAUAAUAAUGUAAUGAAAAAAUACGUGUAUAUAUAUCAUACGCCAAAAGCAAUACACGGGUAACAUCAUCAACCGACAAAUCAAAGGAGCACAACGUACAACCCUGAACGUCAGGCUCCUACUGCAACAUCAGAUACACACAAGUACAGAACGUAUUUUACUACUGGGGAAACACGGGUGUAGCUCGAUCAUGGCUUGGCCUCUGGCACCGGGUAGUGGCCCUCCGGCUUCGGCACCUCCGGCACGUGAGGCGCUUCUGGCUUUGGCAGCUCCGGUACUUCGGGGUGAGGCGGCAGUUCAGGCUUCGGCAGCUCCGGGUGCGGCAGCUCGGGCUUCGGCACCUCCGGGUGCGGCAGCUCUGGCUUUGGUACUUCAGGCACGGCGGGGUGCGGCAGCUCGGGCUUCGGCACCUCUGGUACGUGAGGGUGUGGCAGCUCCGGCACGGCUGGGUGUGGCAGCUCCGGCUUGGGAACCUCUGGCACAGGGUGAGGGAUCUCCGGCUUUGGGUGCUCCGGCACGGUGGGGUGCGGUGGCAGUUCAGGCUUGGGCAACUCCGGCAAGGUAGGGUGCGGUGGCAGUUCAGGCUGCUUCGGGUGCUCUGGCUCGGUGGGGUGCGGUGGCAGUUCAGGCUUUGGGUGCUCUGGCACGGUAGGGUGUGGAGGCAGCUCAGGCUUUGGGAGCUCCGGCACGGUGGG
rnacentral:lncRNA from 1 species